rnacentral:rRNA from 1 species
AAUCAACGCUGGCGGCGUGCCUAACACAUGCAAGUCGAACGAGAAGGUGACUUCGGUCACUGGAUAGUGGCGUCCGGGUGAGUAACACGUAGGUAAUCUACCUUCGGGUGGGGAAUAACGUCUCGAAAGAGACGCUAAUACCGCAUAAUGCAGCGGCACCUAAUGGUGAUUAGUUGUUAAAGCGGGGGAUCUUCGGACCUCGCGCCCUGAAGAGGAGCCUGCGGCAGAUUAGCUAGUUGGUGAGGUAAUGGCUCACCAAGGCUUCGACCUGUAGCUGGUCUGAGAGGACGGCCAGCCACACUGGCACUGACACACGGGCCAGACUCCUACGGAGGCAGCAGUGGGGAAUUUUGGGCAAUGGGCGAAAGCCUGACCCAGCAACGCCGCGUGAAGGAGGAAAUCCUUCGGGAUGUAAACUUCAUAAGUAAGGGAAG